AGAUAUUUUUUAUUACGUCUCCAAUAACUUUACUUAGUUACGAGCAUCAUGAGGAUGAAGCGAGGUGCGACAGAAUUUCUUCAGAUUUCAAUGGUUUUUAGUGCUGUCUUCUUUGUUAAAGGUCAAGACGACUGCAAAUCAAUGGUGUUUUUCGGUUGCGUCCAAAACAAGGCCCUCUCUGGUCAUGUGAUCAAGACUCUCCAAGUCUCACCUAGUACAGCAACAUGCCCACAGAUGUGUUUUAUGGAAGCCAAUUGUAUGUCAUACAACAUGGGCCCAAUAGAAGGAGAGACGAGAUCGUGUGAUCUGAACGAUGCUGACAAUGUGCUAGACUAUCUGGAUGUGGUGGCGAAAGAUGGAUUUGAAUUCUGCACUUUUAAGAAUCCCUGUUCUUCCAGUCCUUGUGCAGCGGGUAAAGUGUGCCUACCUGAUGCCUCGUGGAACUCGUUUAACUGUAGUAAUGGACGAUGGAGCCAAUGGACGUCAUGGUCUUCCUGUGUCUGUGACCAGACACGCACGCGUCAGUGUGUGGAUCCAUUCACCCAACAAACGGCAACCGAUUGUUCUGGAUCAUAUGAGGAAAAGCGAAAUUGUAAAGCAGCAGGAAUAUGUGACUGGCUUGCCCACCACUGGCUUGUUGCUAUGGGGCAAAUUGACACGUGAUCAAUUCCUGCAAAUGGUCUAUAGUGCAGUUGUCCACUUGUUUGUAUAUAGUAAAUGCAACAUAUAAAGGAACAAAUACAACUGAUGGUACCUUGUGCGUUUUCCCGUUCCUCUACAAAGAGGUAUGGUACAAUCAUUGCACAUGUGUCGAUUGGAAUCAUCCUUGGUGUGCAACUACGCAAAUCUAUGACAAAUACGCCUGGGGU
rnacentral:misc_RNA from 1 species